rnacentral:rRNA from 1 species
GGUUAAGUGACUAAGCGUACACGGUGGAUGCCUUGGCAGUCAGAGGCGAUGAAAGACGUAGUAACUUGCGAUAAGCCCAGAUUAGGUAGUAACAACCAUUUGAGUCUGGGAUUUCUGAAUGGGGAAACCCACGUGCAUAAGCACGUAUCCUUACCUGAAUACAUAGGGUAAGGAGGCGAACCGGGGGAACUGA